AAACUUGCCCCGAGAUGAGUUCUCCCUGAGACUUUAAGUCUCCUGAAGGAACGUUAAAGACGAUGACGUUGAUAGGCCGGGUGUGUAAGCGCAGCGAUGCGUUGAGCUAACCGGUACUAAUGAACCGUGAGGCUUAACCUU
rnacentral:rRNA from 1 species